AAAAAGAUAAGCUAAUAAAGCUAUUGGGUUCAUACCCCAAAUAUAAAGGUCCCAAUCCUUUUUUUUUUA
rnacentral:tRNA from 1 species